rnacentral:misc_RNA from 1 species
UCCGAGUUGACCCCGGCAGUCUCCUAUGAGUCCCCGGCAUUAUCCGCUGGCAACAUAGAACGAGGGUUGCGCUCGUUGCGGGACUUAACCCAACAUCUCACGACACGAGCUGACGACAACCAUGCACCACCUGUAUACCGACCUUGCGGGGCAUCCAUCUCUGAAUGUUUCCGGUAUAUGUCAAGCCUUGGUAAGGUUCUUCGCGUUGCAUCGAAUUAAUCCGCAUGCUCCGCCGCUUGUGCGGGCCCCCGUCAAUUCCUUUGAGUUUUAGCCUUGCGGCCGUACUCCCCAGGCGGGGAACUUAAUGCGUUAGCUGCGGCACGGAUCUCGUGGAAUGAGACCCACACCUAGUUCCCAACGUUUACGGCAUGGACUAC